GCGCCAGCACCGGGGGUGGGGCCGGCCCAGGCCUGUGUCCGCCGCCGCCUUCCCGGCCGCCGGCCUGUCUCCCUCGACGACGUCGCCCUGAAGCCCGGGGACCAGGUGCCAGGUCGUGUUUGACAUUAGCCCGGACCUCGGAAAACUGCCCGGUGAUGACGGUUGUUCUUUAGUGAGAGGACUUUGGUGAUUUUUUUCGGGCCGAGAGGUUGCCUGCCUCACAAAUUACCCAUGGCAUUACGAAGGAAGUUUCUGGAAAUAAACAGCCAUAGAAUGAGAAAUAAUUUUGCUAGAUGCCUUAUUCUUUCAUUUCGAGAUCUCCCUACUUCUGGAAGAGUAGGAGGGAGGCCAGAAACCAAGAAGAGCCGAGAGACCAUGCUUCCGGCCGGAGACAGAACAGAGAGGGAGAGAGGAGCGCGCCCGCCCCCAGGCCGAUCCGGUGUCCGUCAGGCAGCCUCUGUGAGCCUCGACAUUGGCAUCCUUUUCCUCUGCAAAUACAUAAACACGGAACUGUGAGACCAACGUGUAGACCUAUGGAGAGCCUGAGGCACCAAACUCUUAAAGAAAAUAAUGAUGAAAGUUUCCUUCAGUGUAUACUUAUGGCUUCUAGAAUUUAAAAAAAAAUCCCCCAAACGAAGCCAUUAUCAGCCAUCUAGCAAGUUCUCUUUGUGUCAGGAGAUAGCAAGUUCCCCUCGUACAAAGGAAUGGAAAGUAAUGGAUAUUCUUUGUAUAAGCAAAAUGGCAGAUGAGACGUGGAUUUAACACUGAGAAUACUUCGCUAAAUUCUGUAGUCAGUGUGCUUUCCAACUCAAAUGGAAAAAUUCGAGAAAUAUUUCCGAGAGAAAGCUGAGAAAGAAAGGCACAGAAAUCAAGAUCCUACCAGGCAUGUUACAGCUUUUGCAGUAGUUCUUGAUAAUUCUGGCUGGAGGGUAAGACAUUUUCACUUUUGGGAUACAGGUGGAAGCCGUCCACGAAAUGAUGCCAAAACGCAGCGUGUAAGCCUGGUCAGACUUGAACUGUGGCCAAAGGCCUGUGGACGACUCUUCUUUAUUGUACAAUAGGCAGCAUGAGGCAGAAGCUUCAUUUACUUCCAGAGCUAAAAUAGGGUGGGGACUCCCUCGGCCCAACCACCUCUCCCUAACCCCAUUCCCGACCCAACCCAACUCUCUUAACCAUUCUUCAUGCCUCCAAAUUUUAAAAAUAGCUUUUGCAAAGUAAUCUACCAAGUCACAACGUACAGGAAGAAGAGCGUUAAACAGAGUCUAAAACCAGAUCCAGCCACGCACGGAGUCAUGUUACCUCUUGAGGCCUUGGGCCUCCAAAAAAAUGAGGGAACUAGGCUUAUUAUCUGUAAGAUGCCUUUAAGUCAGAACCACGGCCCUGUGAGUUGAAAUUCAUGCACUCGUUCCUCUGAAACAUUCCUGGAGUCUGUAUGCACGACUUCUUCCAAGACAAGAAAUAAAACCCAAACAAAUCAAAAGGAUAGGUGCUAUGUAUUCCAAGUCAAUGAACAAAAGCCAUGUCUUAAAUUUUUUGGAUGGUGUUAAGGUCCUUAGGACACAGAAAAGAGAAGUGAAACACAACUGCUGACACAUGACAGAAGAGCCUAAAGGAGGGCAGGGGAAUUAGAUUAAAAGGGAGAAUUAAAAAAACCAAAACCUGAACCCCCCCAGAAACCCUAGGCAUGGUGAAUGAACUGAGAAAGUGAAACGUCUGUGGUGUAAGAUUGUGCAAGCUGGACACCAACUUCCCAUUUAAUUUGAUAUUUAUUGUGUUUGUGUGCCAGGCCUGUCAUCCGUGUGAUGACUGUAUAAACAUUUAUUGAGCACCUACUAUGCUUCUGAAACUCAGACAGGCCCCAACGAUACAUGGUACUUAGUUGAGAUGUUUUGGAAGUGUCCACAGGACCACUGCCUUCUUGCUCUGGAAUUACUGAUAGGCGAAUCCCUUCAGCAAGAUUCUCUUGAUUGGAAUGAUUUUUAUUAUGAAUAUACAGAGAAGUGGAUCCCAUAAACCUUCCCUGUCAUGAAGGCCAAAAGAAAACCAUGAUCUUAUUGAAACUUGACCAUGAAGCUGCCAACUGUAACUUCUUGCUUCUGGCUGUGUGCCUGGAUCCAGAGGCUUUCCCCUUGGUGGUCUGGAAAGCUAGAUGAAACUACAGACAGCUAUCAGAAUCCUUGGAAAGCUGUGUAACUUUUAACCAACAAUUCAACUUCUAGAACUUUUCUUAAGGAAGUAACUUGACAAGUUGCAACAUUCAUUUCCUCACACGUUCAUCAUAGUAUUAUUUGUAAUGAUAAAAGUCAUAAACCACAUCUAAAAGUCUAAUAACAGAACUGAUGAACUAUGUUCCAGUAAAUUUAUACAAAGGUAUUGCCAAUGGCUCACAUCGGACACUUCUCUUGAAAAUGACCCUCAGCUGGGAGCCUACUUACUAUGAAAGGCUUGGAAGGUUAUACCCUCCUCCCUGGGGGUGUCCUACAGCCAACAUGACACCGGGGUGCAAAGGACUGUUGCCCUCUUCAAGGUGACACCGCCCUGGUACCGUCCAUCACCCGAGCACUCUGCACCAGGCCUUCCGCAUCUCUGAUCACCUAAAUGACCUUGGAUGAGUUAAUUAACCCCUCUGGGCCUCAGCAAAACGAGGGAUAAUAAUACUCAACUAAUACAAGUUGUUAUGAAGAUCAGAUAAGUAUAUGUAUAUAAAGAGCCAAAUAGAGUGACCAGCACAUUACAGGUACUCAAUAAAAGGCUGUUAUUUUUAUUACUUUUACUAUUAUUAUCAUCAGAUUUGUUAGAUCAAAAUCUUUCAUCUCUCCGCAGUGUAUGGCUCUCCUGACAGCAAUGUUUCCCUAUGAUAAUAGACCAGAUCAUGGCUUCCACCCACUUCCCUGGGAGGGCAGAGGCAGGCAUUAUGUGGGACCAUUUUUCAUCUGGUUUUCUACACUUUUCCCUUUCCAAGUACGUAAAAGCAGUUGUAACCUGGAGGUGAGCCCCAAAUAAUGAACUGCAUGAUAAGUGAACUGGUCUGUUCAAUCAUUAAACCUUGUUCUGACAGUGACGUGAGCUGCGGGACUGACCGUGCUCUGCCCAUUUAGCCCCAGGACACCAUAUUUGAUUGGGACAAACUUGAGGUCUUUGAGAGGAGUUAAGUUUGUAAGACCAGGUGCUGUUAGAAGCUGUCAACGUCCAGUACAAAACAGUCCCCAUGUCUGGCUCAGUCCUGAAUUCCCCCUAAAGCCUCAGUUAACUUUCAGACUGUCUUAAGUAUUUUCUGCGUAAACUCAUGCUACCUCAGGUUUUAAAUGGGAACUUCUGUCAGACUGAACAAGAGAGCUCACUUUUGCCCCAUUCCCAUAUUCCCAGCCCAUAUUCCCAGGCUUUUGGGGUGACUACUUGACACUGCAUGUUUUCUCUGUCCAACUCGAUAGCAGGUAAUCACUUUGGAUUCUAUCUCACGAUGGUCCUUGGCAGUUGGCUGAAACAACAGCUCUCAUCAAUUGUAAUAAAGAGGAUGGAAUAAAUCUACUGUUUACCUUAUAUGUGAAAUCCUCAAUGUCUCAGAGACAUUCAAGUAUCUUGGAUACUUAGAAUUUUGACUGAUACUGCAAAGGAUUCAAACAUUCAUGAGCAAAAUACAAUGAAAGGAUGUAUAUGCUGGUGAGAAAGGAGAGAAAAUAUGUCUUUUGGAUUCCAACUAUCUUAAGAAUGAUAAGGUCAUUAACUUUUCAUUGGAAGAACUUGUGGAGAGGUGAGACUAGAGACAAAGAGAAGGGUCAAGAUGAAUAAAACAAUGAUUUGAGGCUUUUAAAAGUAUAUGUUUCUGAUAAUUUUGAACUUUCAUACUCUUUGCCUUAAAGUAGAUGGAUAAUUUGUUAACAUUAAGUAAACACUUGGUCCUACCAAACUAAGAAUAUUUUAAUUUCACUCUAUGAAUGGUUAUUCUCAACAUCAUUUCCAAAUAGAAAGGCAGUAUUUCUGGUGCACAGACAUUCUAACUGGCAUUCCCCUGAUUAUAUAGGACUGCUUCAUAUACAUUCCUUAUAUUCCUUAAAGAGAUUUUAAUCACCUGAUCCUGGCGACAAAGCAUUAUUUAAUCAUUCUGUUACCAUGAGGAAACAUUUUCCCAACAUAACUGAUCUGCAAGCAAACUUUUGGAAAAAUUUGUUACAAAUUGCCUGUAUAGGUUUCUUUAAAAAUAUAUACAAUUGUGAACAAAACACAAAGCCAAAAACAAACAACUCUCCUUUCAAAGAGAAUGCUUCAUUUUUUGCCCUAUUCUUAGGAUUUGUCAAGCACUGUGGUGCUGGACAAAUUUUUUGAAGUCCAGCAAUUUUUUUCUGACCUUUCUUUUUCUGCAGUAAAAUACAGUGUUUUUCUAAUUAAAACUGUCAAUAAGAAAUUCACUUCUUACCUUGUCAGAAGGUUUAAAUGGAUUUCCUUGUCCGCUAAUUCCACCACUGAUACUAAAUCCAAGGCCAGGAUUCUUUUCUAUUCUCACACAAAACUAUGUAAAAAAGAUAUAAAAAUGUGAUCAAAUAUAUAUCAAAGCUAAACAUCUUCAAAUAACAUUACAGUAGAAAAGAUUUACAUUUCAAUGAAGUUCUCAGGGUUAGCCUAUGUUAGUACACAAAAGACAAAAUAUUUAGUGCUUCUAUAGGCAAUAAGUUAUGAUUGAAACUAGCUUGAAAUUACCUGGGCAAGCAGAGAUUAGUAAGUAUUUAUUCAUUAUUGUGUGUAGAAAUACACUCUGAUUAGCAGUUUUUGAAAAUUAAAAGCUUUAUAACAAUAACAAGACUGUACAUUAUUUCAAUUACUUUUUUUAAAUGCACAUAUAUUCUGGCCACUUAGAAAGGACAGUAUGAAUAAAUGGAAGAAAAUUUGCAAAUAUACAUUGAGGGAAAAUGCGACUAUUCAGAUAAUUUGCUACUGCUUUCUAGGAGGGUAGUACAAUUCAUCUCGUUGGCAGAUGAUUCUAUUGUUUAGGAAUAGCAGGGCUUUUAUUUUGAGAAAGGGGAGAACUUUUGACCAUAGUUUGAGUGAAGGUGGAACAGAGGAAGAAUGUAAUACUCAGUAAUAGAAGUUUUGGGUUUGGCAGCAGCUCCUGGAGAGGCAGUUAGAAGCCUUGGAAGACAGAGGAGUGCACUGAAAACAGAAAGAGGUCAAGAAUAUGGAGACUGGGGAAUAGUCAAUAAAUAUUUAUGACCAUGAGGGCUAAAAUUCUGGUGUUCUGUGCUGUAUUAUCUUCCCAAACCCUAAACCAUCAGGGAAAGCCUGUUAAACACAAGAGUUUUGUGCUUUGAGACCUAUGGGGAAAUGAUGGCACCCCAAGUUAGGUCCACCUCACGUGAAGGCUGGAGUAAAGCUGAGAGAGGGUUUUAAGAGUGGAUGCAAAAUGUAGAUCGAGAAUUCAGCAGAAGGGAAAUCAUUGCCAGGAAUGACUUCGGGAGGCGGUAACAAAGCUAGGAAUUGAUGGUGAUCCUGAGCUGGGAUAUGUAUGAGGAUCACGGUGAAAAUGCUAGUUUUCCAUAUUAAGUGUGAUGAGGUGACCCAAGAUCAAAAGACUUGGGACCCCAGAGGGCGCAUACACUUUGGUUACAGAAAUAAAGAA